rfam:Schistosoma curassoni strain Dakar, Senegal genome assembly, scaffold: SCTD_scaffold0000587
AUCCAGCUGAUGAGUUCCGCAUUGGACGAAAGGUGUGUCCUGGAU